rnacentral:lncRNA from 1 species
CUUUCUUGUGUGACAUCCAAGAACCCUCUCUUGGGGUCUGGUUCGGGACCCCUUUCUGGUAACAAUACCUCCUUCUUAGUGUGUGAUAGAGAUUUUUAAAAAAGAAUGUACCAGAAUAUUAAAAUGGGAUGCUUUCUAUCUCAGUUUUUGGCUGUGGCUUUAAAAGGCUGAGUAAAAAAGAGACAGAAAGAGAGAAAGUAUGUGGGAAGUAUUUCGUUUUGCAUUCCAAAGUGAGGUGCUAGACUUAUGUAGUACUUCCAAAGGAGGUUGCUACAAACUUAGUUUUUUCCAACUUCAAUCCAAUAAAAGGAUUCAUAUUGAAUAGCUCAGGAAGGGAGAAUUUCUUGGGAGCAAGUUAUUGAAAAACAAUGGCAUUUUCCUUCCUCCUUCAUAUGGGGAAAGGGCUUUGAGAAAAACACUUCGAGUUUAAAAUAUGUCCAUUGAAGCAUGGUGAACCUAAUAAAAUAGUGUCUAUGAAAUCUAAAGGGCAAGAAGCUGUGAGAAUUGGCUUGAUACCAGACUGAAGAGAUGACUGCACCAAGAACUGCUUCACUUUCAGUAAUGAGAGUCAAGGAUGUGGGUUUUCUGUGGGCAGAUGUAGAGCAUGUGGAGAGAGUCAGCCUGGGUCAAUUAUAAAAGGGACCUUGCCCCAAGGGCUUUCUGUCAGGGCUGAUGGGGGAAGCAAACUCAUCAGGAUGCUGAUGGUGGUGUCAAAUGCAGAAGAUGAGAGAGUAGGGUGAGGAUGAGGGGCAUAGCAGAUCUGCCAGAAGAGGAGUAUUAUUGGAGAGACGGGGUUUCACCAUAUUGGGCAGGCUGGUCUCGAACUCCUGACCUCAAGCGAUCCACCCGCCUUGACCUCUCGAAGUUCUGGGAUUACAACUGUGAACCACUGCACCCGGCCCAUAAGUUAUUUAAAUGAUGGAAAAAUUCUAUAAAGAGAAAAUUCCACCUCCUCUACUGUUAGUGGUGAAGCUCACAUAAGAAAGAGCCAGCUGAGAGUCUGUCAAGGGGAGACCCAAAACCAGAGAAACUCCUUUUCUUCUUUGUCUCAAUCACAUCAUUUUCUAGGGACACCAAUUCAUCAAGAAGCAAGAGUUUUGCUGUCAGUUCCUCCUGCAUUCAUUCUUCCUGCUGCCUUGUGAAGAAGGUGCCUUGCUUCCCCUUUGCCUUCCACCAUGAUUGUAAGUUUAACGAGGACUCCCCAGCCAUGCAGAACUGUUCACAACCUUGAAUGGCAUGUUGGCAAUAAAAAGAAGACAAUAAAAAACUACCGAUUUUCUUGAUUUUGUGUUAUUUCUCUAUUUUAUUUUGUGUACAUUUUCUUAUUGGUAGCUGCACCUCCUUCUUACUCUAGUAGAAAUGAAAUGUUUACAAAAGAGUCAAAAAAUAGGCCGGGCGUGGUGGCUCACGCCUGUAAUC